rnacentral:rRNA from 1 species
UCAGGCCUAACACAUGCAAGUCGAGGGGUAGGACACUUCGGUGUUUGAGACCGGCGCACGGGUGCGUAACGCGUAUGCAACCUACCUUUUACAGGGGAAUAGCCCAGAGAAAUUUGGAUUAAUGCCCCAUGGUAUAUUUAGAUGGCAUCAUCUGAUUAUUAAAGUUCCAACGGUAAAAGAUGGGCAUGCGUCCUAUUAGCUAGAUGGUAAGGUAACGGCUUACCAUGGCAACGAUAGGUAGGGGUCCUGAGAGGGAGAUCCCCCACACUGGGACUGAGACACGGACCAGACUCCUACGGGAGGCAGCAGUGAGGAAUAUUGGACAAUGGGCGCAAGCCUGAUCAAGCCAUGCCGCGUGCAGGAAGAAGCAUCUAUGGUGUUAAAGGGCUUUUGUACGGGAAGAAACACUCCUACGGUAGGAGCUGAC